rnacentral:misc_RNA from 1 species
UUUCCGUAGGUGAACCUGCGGAAGGAUCAUUACUAGUUUAGGGUACCCAGUGCCCAAACUUCAACCCUUUGAUUUAACCAAAUUGUUUCUCUGCCGGUUUCGACCGGCAGAAGUUUUCUCAAACUCAUUAGAAAUUGUCUCUGAAAUUUAAAAUAAAAUAUUAUAAAACUUUCAACAACGGAUCUCUUGGUUCUG